AAACCUGACAGUUUGGUAAACUUGACAAUUUGGUAGACCUAACAAUUAGGUAAGCUUGACAAAUUGGUAAACUUGACAAUAUGUUAAACCUGAAAAUUUGGUAAGCUUGGCAAUUUGGUAAGCUUGUCAAUAUAGUAAACUUGACAAUUUGGUAAACUUGACAAUUUGGUAAAAAAUAUUUGUUUCUAAAAAUAUUUUGAUCACUUAGGUACACUAUGGUGAAGCAUAAACAAGAAACCAAAAGCGAAGGAAGGUUUAAAGCUCUCAGAACUGGACAAAGCAGGUAUAAGACUGACGGUAUAAACAGUGUACAUUACAAAAUACAGAGUAUAGAAAAUGAACCCUUGUA